rnacentral:rRNA from 1 species
GCCUCAUUUUAUGAAUAUGAGGUGAGACCUGCUCAAUGGCUACAAAUAAAAAAUAAUAGUAGUUAAAUAGCCGCGGUAACUCUGACCGUGAUAAAGUAGCAUAAUCACUCGUCAUUUAAUUGAUGACUGGAAUGAACGGUUACACGAAUCUUUAACUGUCUCGGUAGUAAAUUUAUUAAAAUUGAAAUAAUAGUGAAGAUGCUAUUUAUUAAUUGUAAGACGAAAAGACCCUAUCGAGCUUUACUAAAUACCUGGACCUAAAAUUUUUAACAAUAAUUUACUAACAAAUUUUCUAGGUUAAUUAGUUUGGUUGGGGCGACCACCUCUAAAAUAGUAUCAGAGGAAAUCAAAAGGUGAAUAAAAAUAUAAACUGCCUUACUGUAUACAUACCUGUUAAUCAGUUACUAAUAAGUAGGAUAUAAUGACCCGUUAAAUUUAUUUUUCAGUUUAACGACUAUGAAAAAAGUUACCGUAGGGAUAACAGGGUAAUAUUCCUAGAGAGUUCAUAUCGAUAGGAAUGUUUGCCACCUCGAUGUUGAAUUGUGAUAUCCUAAAGGUGUAGCAGCUUUUAAGGGUUG